GGAGAAGUACUCAAGAGGCCGAAGAGGGUGGUUUGCUAAACCGCUAGGGGGGUGAAUGCUCCCGCUCGGGUUCGAAUCCCGACUUCUCCGCCA
rnacentral:tRNA from 1 species